AUUAGCUAGUAGGUGGGGUAAAGGCUCACCUAGGCGACGAUCCCUAGCUGGUCUGAGAGGAUGACCAGCCACACUGGAACUGAGACACGGUCCAGACUCCUACGGGAGGCAGCAUG
rnacentral:rRNA from 1 species